UACAUGCAAGUCGAACGAACUCUGGUAUUGAUUGGUGCUUGCAUCAUGAUUUACAUUUGAGUGAGUGGCGAACUGGUGAGUAACACGUGGGAAACCUGCCCAGAAGCGGGGGAUAACACCUGGAAACAGAUGCUAAUACCGCAUAACAACUUGGACCGCAUGGUCCGAGUUUGAAAGAUGGCUUCGGCUAUCACUUUUGGAUGGUCCCGCGGCGUAUUAGCUAGAUGGUGGGGUAACGGCUCACCAUGGCAAUGAUACGUAGCCGACCUGAGAGGGUAAUCGGCCACAUUGGGACUGAGACACGGCCCAAACUCCUACGGGAGGCAGCAGUAGGGAAUCUUCCACAAUGGACGAAAGUCUGAUGGAGCAACGCCGCGUGAGUGAAGAAGGGUUUCGGCUCGUAAAACUCUGUUGUUAAAGAAGAACAUAUCUGAGAGUAACUGUUCAGGUAUUGACGGUAUUUAACCAGAAAGCCACGGCUAACUACGUGCCAGCAGCCGCGGUAAUACGUAGGUGGCAAGCGUUGUCCGGAUUUAUUGGGCGUAAAGCGAGCGCAGGCGGUUUUUUAAGUCUGAUGUGAAAGCCUUCGGCUCAACCGAAGAAGUGCAUCGGAAACUGGGAAACUUGAGUGCAGAAGAGGACAGUGGAACUCCAUGUGUAGCGGUGAAAUGCGUAGAUAUAUGGAAGAACACCAGUGGCGAAGGCGGCUGUCUGGUCUGUAACUGACGCUGAGGCUCGAAAGUAUGGGUAGCAAACAGGAUUAGAUACCCUGGUAGUCCAUACCGUAAACGAUGAAUGCUAAGUGUUGGAGGGUUUCCGCCCUUCAGUGCUGCAGCUAACGCAUUAAGCAUUCCGCCUGGGGAGUACGGCCGCAAGGCUGAAACUCAAAGGAAUUGACGGGGGCCCGCACAAGCGGUGGAGCAUGUGGUUUAAUUCGAAGCUACGCGAAGAACCUUACCAGGUCUUGACAUACUAUGCAAAUCUAAGAGAUUAGACGUUCCCUUCGGGGACAUGGAUACAGGUGGUGCAUGGUUGUCGUCAGCUCGUGUCGUGAGAUGUUGGGUUAAGUCCCGCAACGAGCGCAACCCUUAUUAUCAGUUGCCAGCAUUAAGUUGGGCACUCUGGUGAGACUGCCGGUGACAAACCGGAGGAAGGUGGGGAUGACGUCAAAUCAUCAUGCCCCUUAUGACCUGGGCUACACACGUGCUACAAUGGAUGGUACAACGAGUUGCGAACUCGCGAGAGUAAGCUAAUCUCUUAAAGCCAUUCUCAGUUCGGAUUGUAGGCUGCAACUCGCCUACAUGAAGUCGGAAUCGCUAGUAAUCGCGGAUCAGCAUGCCGCGGUGAAUACGUUCCCGGGCCUUGUACACACCGCCCGUCACACCAUGAGAGUUUGUAACACCCAAAGUCGGUGGGGUAACCUUUUAGGAACCAGCCGCCUAAGGUGGGACAGAUGAUUAGGGUGAAGUC
rnacentral:rRNA from 2 species